AACCUGUUUUAUCUUGUCUUUCUUUUUCUUCUUUUAUUUUCAUGGUGUCCCUUAACUACCUUCCUUAUUCUUUGGAACAGCACCAACAAUAAUACCAAUUGAUGAUGAUAAUGACAUGACAGUUGUGAUUGUUGUUCCAAUAGUUGGAGCGUUUAUUGUUGCAGUAUGUAUUGUAUUGCUUGCAAUAGCACACAAAAUAAGUAAAAAAAAAUCUCGUAAUUCUACAUCACCCGGUGCUACUAAUGAAGAGUUUGACAUGAAGAAACAGCUUAGUGAUGUUGAUGAUGCUGCCAAUGGAGGAGAUGAUGGAUCAGGUUCUUAGUAUUCCAACUAUAAUAGUAUAGACCUACCACUGCAUAGAGGCAUAUAAUAAGAACCAGUGAUUGAUUAAUGUUUUUAAUACACUUUUCAUGUUAUUGAGUACAUAUUUAGUGUCCAGUCUAACACUGUUUUGUCUUUGUUUGAUUUUUUUGCUUCCAAAGAAAUUUUUUCUGAAUACCAUA